GGGCCGGGGCCUCGAGAGCGCUGGGAUCCAGGCACAAAGCUGGGACACUGAGAAGCACCCGGAAGCUUGCUGUCACAUUUCUGCGCACCAAGUCCUGAGCCAGACCAGGAGCUGGGAAAGUGAAGGGUCUCCUCUCUGAAAGUGGUCUGCCCUUGGGGGCAAUGCUUUUACUUGACGUUGAUGUGGGGGAGACAGAUACCCUAGGAAGUGUCCCCCGGAGGGAAUCCAUGGUGGACGCCACAAAGUCGACUUCCUAUCUCUCUCCUGGCUGCUUUCUCUCCUGGGCGUGGGCUGGGUGAAGAUUAAUGGCUCUUCAGCUCUCCCCUUAGAACACAUGCAGUCGUCACGUCCUGAAGAGAAAUGCAGUGGCUCAUAAAUUAUGGGCUGUCGUCAGAGAAGAUGCUACAAAGAGCCUGCCAUAUUGCUUCGGCGUUUGAGUAAAAGAAAGUUAGGAAAAUGUCUGUAGUCGCAGCGCCGCUUCGAGGGACUUAAACGAUCUUCAUGAGUUGUUUUCCGUCCGAGGGCAAAUCCAUUAGGAAUUAGAACUGUUAGAAAUGGAGUGGUUGACAUCCCCUUCCAAACUUCUCAGAGUCUUCAACGAAUAACGAAUGGAAAAACAACCAACUAAACAAUCCAACUGCUAAACAAUCCAUCUAGCACGGAGACUCUGAAAGAGCUCUGGGGGCAUUGCUGUCUUGGAACAUUACAACAUGUUUUUCAGGAUUACAAGGUGUUCCUAAUGUUCCCAGAAUUGAGAUCAAUUUCAGACGCAGCACUGAAGCCACAAAGAGGACUAGAAGUAUCUCUACAGGCCUGGAAGGAGUGACCUCAGUGCUACGGGCUGGAGAAUCGGACUGAUAAAUGCCACGACUGUCCUGGGAUAGGAGCCAUGGAAAGUCAGUGAACUGGACACGUCUGCCUUCCAGGUUUUGCUGAUGAAACCACGGAAGGCUGUUAAUUACGUCUCGCUUCUAAGCCUGACAGUGUGGAGGGGUGCUCAACUUUGAUCACGCUCUAAUGAGUUGAGUGCUAAAGCUGGAUGGCAAGACGCUCUCCUUGAGAAGCCGUGUUCUUCUUCCCAGGAGAGGCUCCACAACCUGGAGCGUGAUGAUGUGCGCAGAAUUGGCUGGAGGUUUUCGGAUCUUUCUACCUCUUUCCGCCUCUGCCGCCCGAGUGUGGGGACCAGCUUCUCUGUGGACCCAAACUGUGAAAUGAUCGGAGGGGUGAAAACGCUUCGCAAGUGACUUGUCUGGUAUCUCUGUCCUGGAAGUCUGGAGUUUCAGUGUCUGUCCCUAAACUUCAUCACUGUUGUUCCCUUGGGUUCUUUACUGAUUGUAAAUGAGGAUGAAAAGUAAAAGCCACGAUGGUCUUUCC